rnacentral:lncRNA from 1 species
CGGGCCGCCCGCCUCCACCGGAGCGGAGAUGAAAACCGGACUCUGCUUCGGACGACCUGCUCAAAGCGGACCGGAACACGGAGCGGACCGGGGCAGGGUGGAUCAAACAGUAAACCGGGACCUGGGACGAGCCGUGCCGUGCCGUGCCGGGGCUGUUCUGAGCUGCGGUGUCACAGCCGAGGGCUCCGGACAGACACCGGGCGGUCCGUGACUGCGCAGGCGGGUUGGGGUGCGCUGCCAGCGGCUGCAGCUCCAGCCGCGUCCCGCUGAAGUGUGGAGGUGUGAUCCAGGAGCGGAGACAUGUACCAGGUCCAGCUGGUUGGUGAGCAGCAGGAGAGUCGGCCCCUGCUGAGUCCCUCCAUCGAUGACUUCCUGUCGGAGAGUCGCAACGACGCCGCCUCCAGCCGACCUCCGACCUCCAACACAGCAGUUCUGUCCACAGCUCUGGACCUUGUGGACCUCAGUGACCCAGCAGACAGCAGUAGUAACGGUGACUCUGGUGGUUCUGGAGGGUCCGGAGGGUCCAGAGGAUCUGAAGGUACUGGAGGGUCCAGAAGUUCUGGAGGUGCCGGAGGGUUCAGAGGGUCCAGAGGCUCCAGUGGUUCCGGGGGGUCCGGGGGCUCCGAUCGCAGCAGGAGGAGUCCACUGAGGAGGAGGACCAGCUCCAGGAGCCCCCGGCACCGACUCCGAGCCGACGACAGUGAGCUGAUCCAGGUGGAGGUGGAGCACCUGCCCCCCAGCCCCAGGACACCUGAGAGGGUAUCGCUGGACUCAGUCAGCCUGUCUUCUCCAUUGGACAAAUGGGAGGAGCUGAAUGUGGACGUGGAGGACAGUGGACGCAGGAGACGCCAUGAGAAGAGAUGUACAUCCCAC